AACUAAAAUGGUCAAGCUGAGCUGCUCAUAUAGUUCAAGUAGUGAAUAUGUUGUGCUUUACUGGUACAGACAGUAUCCCAACAGAGAACCUCAGUAUUUAUUACUCAAAGGUGCCCGAUCACGUCGUGAUGAAGACACCUCUGACGGCCGAUUUAAUUCAGCUACAACACGCACAUCCACUGAACUCACUAUUACUGAUGUACGUCUGUCAGAUUCAGCUCUCUAUUAUUGUGCUCUAAGAGUAGUAGCCCAGUGA